AGAGUUUGAUCCUGGCUCAGAUUGAACGGGAAAAAGAGAAGGUUACACGUGCAAGUCGAACGGCAGCACGCCUAGAAAAAAAAAAAUGGUGGCGAGUGGCGAACGGGUGAGUAAUAUAUCGGAACAUGUCCAAUAAUGGGGGAUAACUAUCCCAUAGGAUAGCUAAUACCGCAUACGCCCUGAGGGGGAAAGCGGGGGAUCGUAAGACCUCGCGUUAAUGGAGUGGCCGAUAUCUGAUUAGCUAGUUGGUGAGGUAAAGGCUCACCAAGGCGACGAUCAGUAGCUGGUCUGAGAGGACGACCAGCCACACUGGAACUGAGACACGGUCCAGACUCCUACGGGAGGCAGCAGUGGGGAAUUUUGGACAAUGGGCGCAAGCCUGAUCCAGCCAUUCCGCGUGAGUGAAGAAGGCCUUCGGGUUGUAAAGCUCUUUCGCAAGGGAAGAAAACUUACUCAAUAACACUGGGUGAGGCUGACGGGUACCUUGAUUAGAAGCACCGGCUAACUACUUGCCAGCAGCCCGCGGUAAAUACGUAGGGGUGCGAGCGUUAUUCGGAAUUUACUGGGGCGUAAAGCGUGCGCAGGCGGUUUUGUAAGUCAGAUGUACGAGAAGCCUCCGGACUCAACUUGGGAACUGCGCUUGAAAACUACAAGGCUAAGACGUGUAGCARAGGGGUGUAGAAAUUCCACGGUGUAGCAAUGCAAUGGCGUUAGAGAAUGUCUGAACGAUUUGCCAAUUGGCGAAAGCCAGCUCCUCUGGAGUUAAACACUUGACGCUCACUUGCAUGAAAAGCGGUGGGGGGAGCCAAACAGGAAUUAGAUAGCCUGGGUAGUCCCACGCCCCCUUAACCGAUAUGUCUCACUAGUUUGUUUGUGAAGAAGAUAAAAAUGUCUGUUUAGUUAAGCGCAGACCUUAACCGCCGUGAAGAUAUGAACCCACCCUGGUGAUGUACAGAGUUCGCAAGCAUUAUAAAUCCUCAUCAAGGAGAUAAUUUACGUACCGGGAGUGCGCUCGCACGUAUAGCGGUGGAUUAUGUGGAUUAAUUCGAUGCAACGCGAAAAACCUUACCUGGCCUUGACAUGCUACUAACGACGCAGAGAUGCAUUAGGUGCCCGAAAGGGAAAGUAGACACAGGUGCUGCAUGGCUGUCGUCAGCUCGUGUCGUGAGAUGUUGGGUUAAGUCCCGCAACGAGCGCAACCCUUGCCAAUAAUUGCCAUCAUUUAGUUGGGCACUUUAUUGGGACUGCCGGUGACAAACCGGAGGAAGGUGGGGAUGACGUCAAGUCCUCAUGGCCCUUAUGGCCAGGGCUUCACACGUAAUACAAUGGUCGGUACAGAGGGUUGCCAACCCGCGAGGGGGAGCCAAUCCCAGAAAGCCGAUCGUAGUCCGGAUUGCAGUCUGCAACUCGACUGCAUGAAGUCGGAAUCGCUAGUAAUCGCGGAUCAGCAUGUCGCGGUGAAUACGUUCCCGGGCCUUGUACACACCGCCCGUCACACCAUGGGAGUGGGUUCCACCAGAUAUUUUUAUUAGUGGUAACCGCAAGGAGGACGAUUACCACGGUGGCCCCUCCUUUUCUAGUGAAGUCGUACCAAGGUAACC
rnacentral:rRNA from 1 species